rnacentral:rRNA from 1 species
CCCUUAGAUGUUCUGGGCUGCACGCGCGCUACACUGAUGCGCUCAACGAGUUUUGACCUUGCCCGGCAGGGUUGGGUAAUCUUUUUAAAACGCAUCGUGAUGGGGAUAGAUUAUUGCAAUUAUUAAUCUUCAACGAGGAAUUCCUAGUAAGCGCGAGUCAUCAGCUCGUGCUGAUUACGUCCCUGCCCUUUGUACACACCGCCCGUCGCUCCUACCGAUUGAGUGCUCAGGUGAAUAAUUCGGACUGCAGCAAUGUUUGGAUCCCGAACGUUGCAGCGGAAAGUUUAGUGAACCUUAUCACUUAGAGGAAGGAGAAGUCGUAACA